rnacentral:lncRNA from 1 species
GUGACUGAGCACUGAGUCCCCUGUGGUGUUGGGACCCCAACCCAGCAUUUACACUUGCACAAGCCUGGGCCUGACAAGCCCUUAGAGACCCACUCCAAACCCCUUAAGUCACAGACAAUGACUGAGGCUUCCAGAGGGAAAGUACCUUGCCCAGAUGAGGCAGAGCCUGGAUUAAAACUCAGUUCUCCUGUUUGCAUGGAAGCAGUCUAUCAGUGUUCUGUCCCUGCUCAUUUCUCAUUGGGAGGGAACCUGGUACACAGGAAAUGAACGAAAAGGUGCCUAUUCCAAGAAGGGCCCCCGGAGCCCAGUCCUGGCUCUGCCACAGCACAUCUGGGUGAGCUUGGGAAAGUUACCCUGCCCCUCUGGACCUUGGGCUCCUCGUCUCUAAAAUGAGUCUGACAACAGCUGACAUCAGAUAGUACAUGAUGCUGAGUGUGAUGCUAACCUUGGGCUGUUUCCAUGCAGCAUCCUCCCAGCAGGGUUUGCUGCCCACUGUAGGAUGACAGAAAAAGCUAUAGUCAGGCUGUGUAAUCGGGGACAGCCUAUGGGAGCAAGAGCCCUGUGAGUCUCUGUUGCUACCUGAGGAAAGAUAUGAUGAGAUGUAGGUGAGAGGCCAGUACCCUGCCCCCCUUCCACAGACCUGUAACAUGGAGGUGGAUCAUCCCAGAUAUGUGAUUUUGGCAACCUGGGGUUAUCUGGCUGGUAUCCGCCUCUCUCCUUUCCAAGACCCUGCCUCUUAGAGCCCUGGCACUUAGGGAGACUCAGCAGGUGAACAAAGUCGCAUUUUCUCAUUUCAGUGUAUCGCUUACUGAGCUAAUGGGCAGGGGAGUCGCUGAGGCAGUCCAAGAAUCAUUUGAAAGCCAAUUAAAGCAAGGGUAGCAAUCCACACAUGCCCCCUUCCAGCAGAGGUGUGGAAUACACUCCUUGUUUGCCUAAAAUUUGAGAAAUGCAGAGGUUAACAAAACGUGCAAUUGUCAUUUUAACGGGGCUUUAUUUUUCCAUGGUUAAGUCCAUGAAUCCUUUUUCAUAAAGCAAAGAAUCAUCACUGACUUAACAUUUGGCCCAUGUGGAUUUCCACAGAUCAAGUUUGGCUUAACAUACAACUUUUUUCCAAGCUAGCUCAUCAGGUCUGCAGCCAUCUUCCCUGGAUUUGAGGCUGAUUCAAAACUAGGUGGGAAGAGCCGGACCCAGCAGGGUAAUAACAGAGAUGGAUAAGUUCCUGUGCACUUGUUGGGAUCUAAUGCUCCUGACCAAGUGGUCAGAACUCUGCUAAUGCCAGGAAAUAUUACCAGGAUAAAUUUUCAGCGCUAGCAUUUUGGUGGCGUGGGGGCUGUGCAGGCAGCAAAUCUGGCUGGAAGGGUUGUACUAGAGGGCUCUUAAAGCUGCAUUUGUGGCGUGCUUCACUUAAGACUGAAAAAUGCCAAUCAACCAUGUCACUGGGAGGGAGCAGUUGUUGGAAAUUUUGUAAAGAACUGGGCCCCUUGUCAACUCUCAUUGCCGUGGUGUUACAUUCCUUCUCCCAUGAUGCCUGUAGUGCAACUUGAAGAGGAACGGGACAUACUUGGGCACCCAAGCAAGAACCGUUGUCAUGUUGAAGAUACUGGACAGGCAGGCAGAGGUCAUGAGAAGAGCCUGGAGGCCUAUGGAAAAGGCACUUUUCUGGCUUCUUCCAGGUUCUUCCUCGCCCCUUCCUGAAAUAAUCAUUGUCCUGCUGAGACCUCUAGUGGCCAUACUGGUAACUACAGGAGUCUGAAGCAGGAGGGAAGGAAGCCGUCACUGUGGGCUCUCCCAAGCCACAGCCAAGCACAUCCACAGAGGUCUUUGGAGUCCUCAGCCUGAAACUCUUUGUCAGCAGAGGAAAGAGAGCAUCACAUACCUAAAGACUCUGAAAUAGCCCAGGGCCUGGUGGCCUGUUGCCAUGAGAACAUGCCUAGCUGCCUAUUAGCCAUGGUGAUGAGGACUCUGCCCUCUUUUGUGCUUCUGGUUUAUCCUGGCUUAGUUCUGGGAUCCACUGGAAGUGCUAGAUUUGGCCAAUCCUUCAUGCCUUGCCCUAAAACAAACCUAUCAUCCCACUGUUCCCCGAAACCAAACUGAGCUCCCGAGAGUCUGAAGAGUCAGCGGCCAGAAUCCUUCUUAUCUGGCAGACACACAUACCAACCCAUAUUUGUCCCCGGGGUCCCUGUAUAGACCUGGCUGGCUUGGGGGCCAGGUGGCCUGGCACUGCUUCCCUAGACAUUCAUCUCCCAAAGGGACAGAACACCAGCCCUCCACUGCUACAGCCUCCCACACUCUGAUCCUUGGGGCUUCCUGAGAACAGUGAGUUACACCUGACUGGCACAAGGCUAAAUUGUUUUAAUUGGUCUAACCCAGUAGUUUUCAAAGUGUGGUCCCCAGACCAGCAGCAUCACCAUCACCCAGGAACUUGUUAGAAAUGCAUGUUUUUGGAAUUUCCAUUGUGGCUCAGCGAGUUAAAGUUCUGACUACUAUCCAUGAGGAUAUGGGUUCAAUCCCUGGCCUCACUCAGUGGGUUAAGGAUCUGGCAUUGCCUUGAGCUGUGGUGUAGGUCGCAGUUAUAUCUUGGAUCCCGAGUUGCUGUGGCUGUGGCUGUGGCAUAGGCCAGCAGCUGCAGCACCUAUUCAGCCCCUAACCUGGAAACUUCCAUAUGCCAUAGGUGCAGCAUUAAAAAAGAAAAGAAAUACAGGUUCUCAGGCCCUGUGCUAGACCUACUGAAUCAGAAACUCUGUGAGUGGAGACCAGCCACCUGUGUUUUAUAGGCUUCCAGGUGCCUCUGAGGCUCAGUAAGCUUUGAGACCCUCUGCCCCAAGCACUGAUUCACAAAUGUCAGUAUGUACAUGAUGACAAACUCUCAGCUUAGUUAAUUUGGCCUCCCCCACGGCAUGCGAAAGUCCCCAGGCCAGGAAUUGAACCUGCACCGUAGCAGUGACAAUGCUGGAUCCUUAACCCACGGAACCACCAGGGAACGCCCUCUCAGCUUAUGUAAAUGUGGAUGCUGAUCCCUCAGCCACAGAGAUUUAGUAGUUCUUCAGUAGGGAUGUGGAAAUCUGAUUCUGAAACCAUCACUCCAUGUAAUUCUGAUGCAGUUAGAUCCACACACCACUGUUUUGAGGAAAUCUGUUCUGAAAUGAGCAGGGCCACCUUCACCAGCAGAGUUUAGCUUUCUCUCUUGACUUAAAGAUAAAUACUGUUCUCCCAUCUCAGUAGCCAUGAGAAAGACCUCAGAAAACAUAUCAGAUGCUCCAAGUCUUUGAAGGGGGUCAUACUGUUCCCUCAGCAAAUGAGCUUUAGCAAAUGCCAUGAGGAAAAUCUUAGUGGAAUCUGUAUCACAGUACAAACGUGGAAUCUUUCUCUGGAAAGAGAUGCUAAUCACUGAGGGAAGAGAAAGAACAGGAAACCUGCGGCUCCCUGGGAGUCUGGCACUCUGGGUGAUGUGCCAGGCUCGACCAACAAGCGUGUGCCAUCUCUGGGCAGAGAGUCCAUCAGAUAACAAGGUGCCCUUCUCGAACAAUAUCAGAUUUAGUGGUACUGUCACAACAAGACCCAAGGCACUGGUUCAUUAGAAUACUGCUGGGAGGGGAGUUCCCGUCGUGGCUCAGUGGUUAACGAAUCCGACUAGGAACCAUGAGGUUGCGGUUCGAUCCCUGGCCUUGCCCAGUGGGUUAAGGAUCCAGCGUUGCCGUGAGCUGUGGUAUAGGUUGCAGAUGCAGCUUGGAUCUCAAGUUGCUGUGGUUGUGGCUGUGGCCAGCGGCUAUAGCUCUGAUUGGACCCCUAGCCUGGGAAUCUCCAUAUGCCGCAGGUGCGGCCCUAGAAAAGGCACAAAAAAAAAAAAAAAAAA